ensembl:misc_RNA
UGGAGAAAGAGCGGCUGGGGAGCACCUCUCUCCAGCCUCAAACUAUUUCUCCCCCAAGGCAAUGUUUCCCAAUUACACUUUGCUGUCAUCAGCACCUUCUUCUUGUCUGGGCUCAUCAACCUUCCAGCCCAGUUACCACGGUGCUGCAUUGCUGGAGAAUUCAGGACCCCACACCAAGAUGAUCAUCUUAGAAAUGCACAACA